UGAGUACGAGCUGCUACGGCAGCGAAGUGGGUGAUGUCAAGCUUCCAAGAAAAGCCCUAUACCCGUUAAGGCAUGAUGGCCUGUACCCGAAACCGACACAGGUGGGGUGGUAGAGAAUACCGAGGGGCGCGAGAUAACUCUCUCUAAGGAACUCGGCAAAAUGGCCCCGUAACUUCGGGAGAAGGGGUGCCACCGCAAGGCGGUCGCAGUGAAGAGGCCCGGGCGACUGUUUACCAAAAACACAGGUCUCCGCUAAGUCGCAAGACGAUGUAUGGGGGCUGACGCCUGCCCAGUGCCGGAAGGUUAAGGAAGCUGGUCAGCGUAAGCGAAGCUAGCGACUGAAGCCCCGGUGAACGGCGGCCGUAACAAUAACGGUCCUAAGGUAGCGAAAUUCCUUGUCGGGUAAGUUCCGACCCGCACGAAAGGCGUAACGAUCUGGGCGCUGUCUCGGAGAGAGGCUCGGCGAAAUAGAAUUGUCUGUGAAGAUGCGGACUACGUGCACCCGGACAGAAAGACCCUAUGAAGCUUUACUGUAGCUUGGUAUUGUGCUCGGGCUCGGAAUGCGCAGGAUAGGUGGGAGGCUAUGAACCAUUGCUUGUGGGUGAUGGUGAGCCACUGGUGAGAUACCACUCUUUCCGAGCUAGAGUUCUAACAGCCACCCGUUAUCCGGGGGCUGGACAGUAUCAGGUGGGCAGUUUGACUGGGGCGGUCGCCUCCUAAAAGGUAACGGAGGCGCGCAAAGGUUUGCUCAGGCUGGUUGGAAAUCAGCCGACGAGUGUAAAAGCAGAAGCAAGCUUGACUGUGAGACCUACAAGUCGAACAGGGAGGAAACUCGGCUUUAGUGAUCCGACGGUUCUGCGUGGAAGGGCCGUCGCUCAACGGAUAAAAGUUACUCUAAGGAUAACAGGCUGAUCUCCCCCAAGAGUUCACAUCGACGGGGAGGUUUGGCACCUCGAUGUCGGCUCAUCGCAACCUGGGGCUGAAGUCGGUCCCAAGGGUUGGGCUGUUCGCCCAUUAAAGCGGUACGCGAGCUGGGUUCAGAACGUCGUGAGACAGUUCGGUCCAUAUCCGGUGCAUGCGCAGGAAUAUUGAGAGGAUUUCUCCCUAGUACGAGAGGACCGGGAGGAACGCACCUCUGGUGUACCAGUUAUCGUGCCAACGGUAAACGCUGGGUAGCCAUGUGCGGAGAGGAUAACCGCUGAAAGCAUCUAAGUGGGAAGCCCACCUCAAGAUGAGUAUUCCCAUGGGGUAACCCAGUAAGGUCACGGGAAGAACACCCGUUGAUAGGCUCUACGUGGAAGCGCAGUAAUGUGUGAAGCGGAGGAGUACUAAUAGACCGAGGGCUUGACC
rnacentral:rRNA from 1 species